rnacentral:rRNA from 1 species
GAUGAACGCUGGCGGCGUGCUUAACACAUGCAAGUCGAACGGUGAACGAGGGAGCUUGCUCCCUCCGGAUCAGUGGCGAACGGGUGAGUAACACGUGAGCAAUCUGCCCUGGACUCUGGGAUAAGCGUUGGAAACGACGUCUAAUACCGGAUACGAGACGUGAAGGCAUCUUCAACGUCUGGAAAGAACUUCGGUCCAGGAUGAGCUCGCGGCCUAUCAGGUAGUUGGUGAGGUAAUGGCUCACCAAGCCUACGACGGGUAGCCGGCCUGGGAGGGUGACCGGCCACACUGGGACUGGGACACGGCCCAGACUCCUACGGGAGGCAGCAGUGGGGAAUAUUGCACAAUGGGCGCAAGCCUGAUGCAGCAACGCCGCGUGAGGGACGACGGCCUUCGGGUUGUAAACCUCUUUUAGCAGGGAAGAAGCGAAAGUGACGGUACCUGCAGAAAAAGCACCGGCUAACUACGUGCCAGCCGCCGCGGUAAAAC